UACGGAGGGGGCUAGCGUUGUUCGGAAUGACUGGGCGUAAAGCGCGCGUAGGCGGAUCGCAAAGUCGGGGGUGAAAUCCCGGGGCUCAACCCCGGAAUGGCCUUCGGGACUCGCGGUCUUGAGUUCGAGAGGGGUGGGUGGAAUUCCGAGUGUAGAGGUGAAAUUCGUAGAUAUUCGGAGGAACACCAGUGGCGAAGGCGGCCCACUGGCUCGACACUGACGCUGAGGCGCGAAAGCGUGGGGAGCAAACAGG
rnacentral:rRNA from 1 species